GAUGCAGACACGAGCACAGGAGAAUCUAGCAAGAGGAGGAACCCCCACUACCUUUCCCGGGAGGCCUCGGAAGACAGUGACGUGUUCGGGGAGGCAGAUGUGGAUG